CGAAGGGGCGUAGCGUUGUUCGGAAUUAACUGGGCGUAAAGGGACGCGUAGGCGGCCUGUUUAAUCAGAAGUGAAAGCCCCGGGCUCAACCUGGGAACCGCUUUUGAUACUGGCAGGCUUGAGUUCCGGAGAGGAUGGUGGAAUUCCCAGUGUAGAGGUGAAAUUCGUAGAUAUUGGGAAGAACACCGGUGGCGAAGGCGGCCAUCUGGACGGACACUGACGCUGAGGCGCGAAAGCGUGGGGAGCAAACAGGAUU
rnacentral:rRNA from 1 species